AGAUUAAGUUAUUAAGGGCGCACGGUGGAUGCCUUGGCACUAGAAGCCGAUGAAGGACGUUACUAACGACGAUAUGCUUUGGGUAGCUGUAAGUAAGCGUUGAUCCAGAGAUUUCCGAAUGGGGGAACCCAGCAUGAGUUAUGUCAUGUUAUCGACAUGUGAAUUCAUAGCAUGUCAGAAGGCAGACCCGGAGAACUGAAACAUCUUAGUACCCGGAGGAAGAGAAAGAAAAAUCGAUUCCCUGAGUAGCGGCGAGCGAAACGGGAAGAGCCCAAACCAACAAGCUUGCUUGUUGGGGUUGUAGGACACUCUAUACGGAGUUACAAAAGAACAUGUUAGACGAAUCAUCUGGAAAGAUGAAUCAAAGAAGGUAAUAAUCCUGUAGUCGAAAACAUAUUC
rnacentral:rRNA from 1 species